AGGUGCGUACUCCAUAUCUAGCGGGUAUAAUUCAACCCAUAUCCUGCUCAACCCAACACUUGAUUUUAUUGAGGAGUUCAAAGCAAGUCUCCCUGAUGAUUCACUUGCUCUUACGAACAACGAUAGUAGCCAAUGGUCUGUUGGUACUGCUACUUCUAUUCGUGCCAGGUUUUUUGUUCUUAAUGAGAGGCUAACCAUCGGAGAGAUCAUUGAUAUCUCUGUGGUAUAUAGACUAUACUCUUCGCUUUUGAAUUUUUUACACAUUUGUAUACUCCAUGUGUUAUCAGCGCUUUUAAAAAAUACUCAUUGAGUAAUAAUAGGUUGGCACUUUUGUUACUCUGGGGACCAUUGAAACAAUUGAUAUUGAACGUGGCUGGCAAUAUCUAAGUUGCAAAUACCAUAACAAAAAAGUGAUGCCUACAACCAAUGUUGAUGCUGAUGACCGGCCCUUGUUCUUCUGCAAUACGUGUGACAAAGAACACAGUGAUGUUAUUUCCAGGUUCAAAUUAAUUGCCAAUGUCAAGGACGAUA